CACAUUAAAAUGAUGGUAUGCAGGAUCUGGAUUAAAACAUAUUGUCUAAUUUGCCUUGUCAUUCCAGCUGACAGAAGGGAGUUGGUAGGAUGUGCCCGCAGUUUCUUAGAUUAUUUUGCUUUUCUAAGUAGGAAUAAGUACGAUUUACAAGAUGGAGAUCAGUUUACUAACUUCUGAGACUGAGAAAAGGAGAACAUAGAAGUAACAGCUACUUGGGAUGCUGAAAACAGGAGGACACCGCCGAGGGGAGGAAAUGCUGCUUUUCAUACCACAACAAAGCGUGAGACACUGAAAACCAGCACCACAGCCUUAAACACAGACAAAACAAAGUCAUCCAAACCAGUACUAUGCAAGAAAAACAUUAUUUAGACCAAACACUCAGUAGAAACAGUUCUCCGUUUAUCCCACUGUGAUCCAUUAGUCCCUCGGUUCAAAAAACUUUCUCUUACUCCUUUUUCUAGAAACUUUGUUGCCAUCUUCCAUGCCAACAGUGAAGCCCUUACAUGUAUUUUGGAAACUAGAUGUGUCACUGCCUUGAGCAAAUCUCGAAAAUCCCCCAACAACUUUAAGAAGGACCAGGUCUUCAGAACCUUUCAGUCCUUUUCCUGCCAUAAAACGGAGUAACGUUGCCCUCAUCUUCUCCCUCACUCCAAAAAAACAGGACAAACAGCCAUAUGAAACUUAAGUGGCUUCCAGCAAGGAUUUUUUAAUUCACCUUUUCCCCUCCUCCUCUUCUGCACAGAAUUGAAGUAAAAUAGUACUUUCAAUUGAUUUAUAGUUUUGAAGGAUUUCUGAACAAAGGACGGAUUAUUUUUUUCUUUGCAAAAAAGUAGACAUAAGGGUUGCUGGCUUAGUUCUCUAAAGGAGAAGAAAGAGGGGAAGAAAGUUCCCCUUAACUGCAUCUUAUUUUAAAAUAUCCAUACAGUAACUCAGCACAUUUUCAUUUCCCAUUUCUCUAAAUCCCAAAACAGAUUUUAUUGUGGUGGAUGAGGACUGUUUUGCAUGAAAAACUCAAAGCAAUUAAUACUAUUCAUGGGUGUGACUAGGACUAAAAUGAACAAAUCUGCAAAUGCACUGUUGGACUUGACUCCUUUAUUGUUUUGCUUUUAAUUGUAUGUUUCUACCUAUUAGAAAAUGUAUAGUUGCAUUUAUGGCUUAAAAAAAAAAAAAAGAAGCAAAAAUAAA